CUGGAAGGGGGCGGGGCUGCCGCCUCCCAGGUCCUUGAGAUCAUUUUCCGGGAAAAUGCAACUCUGGUCUCCGAAGGACCUGAGCGGACCACCUCCUGACUGUUCAGUUGGCUUCCCAGGGCGGACUUCCGGCAAAGCCCCCAUGGCGGAGCAAGUCCAACACGGACCUCCUUUCCGCCUCGCCUGGCUUGGGGGAUUGAAGGACCUGGACAGAAGCCUGGAACCCUCAAUGUCCGCCACUGACCCUGGCGGUUGACUGGAAUGUCGUCGGUGGUAAUAGCUUAGGAAUUGCUGGCCUGUCUUAGAUUCCUCGACUUAUUAUCCUAGGCCUUUUACACAAAUCGCAGACUUAAAAUAGUUGCAGUAAUAGGAUUUAUUGAGUACAAGUGAAGCAAUCCACUAGGCUUUUUUUUUUUUAAGUGGCAUUUAAUCUUUGGGGCAGUCUAAUCAGAUAAGAGAAGAGUUCUUUCGGACCCAAAAGCUAACAAAGUGGAGGGAACCAGAGGCUUUUCCGGGCCUGGUAACAUCUCCUGGCUAUGUCUUCCAGAUUGCCCCAGAGAAUCUCAGGCAUCUCUUGGGACAGAGAAGAAACCCUUAAAGCAUCUUUUUGGCAACUGAGAAAAUCUCAGUCCUGUGGCCCCAGGACAUCUUCAGUGGGCUUAAGGUGAGCUGGAGGUAAACCUGAGACUCACUUUUCAACCUGGGACACUAUAUAUAUAUAAAACCUGCUUGGCUGGUGACAGACCGUGUUUCGUGAUUUCCAGAGCCUUUACAGACCUCAGAGAGCUCAGCAAUCAGGUAUUAAAAACUAGUUGCAGUUGUAAAACUGCACUCACGGGGUUGGGGAUUUGGCUCAGUGGUAGAGCGCUUGCCUAGCAAGCACAAGGCCCUGGGUUCGGUCCCCAGCUCCGGAAAAAAAAAAAAAAAAGACUGCACUCACUAGAAAGUUCCUAGGUUUAGCCUGUUCCUUCUUCUGCUUGGCUGCGGACUGGACUCCUGAGUAUGUACAGCUGGUUCUCAAUUUACCAUGGUUUCACCAACAGUCGUGGGCUUACAGGAAUACUAAAUGCCUUUUUUGGACUCAGGUCACUUCAAGGCCAGCCUUGGCUGCAUAGUAAGUUUGAGGUCAGCCUAGACUACAUGAGACCCUGUCUUAAAAAAAAGACAAACAGGACUGAAAAGAUGGCUCUGUGGUUAAGAGCACAGACUGCUCUUCCAGAGGUCAUGGGUUCAAUUCCCAGCAACCACAUGAUGACUCACAACUAUCUGUGAUGGGAUCCGAUGCCCUCUUCUGGUGUGUCUGAAAACAGAUACGGUGUACUCAUAUUCAUAAAUAAAUAAAUAAAUCUUUAAAAAACAAAGUCUGGCAGUGAUGGCAUGUGCCUUUAAUCCCAGCACUUGGAAGUCAAAGGCAAGUGGAUUACUGUGAGUUUGAGGCCAGCCUGGUCUAGAGAGUGAGUUCCAGGGCAUCCAGGGAGACUCUGUCUGCAAAACAAACAACAAAAACCAACCAACCAAAAACCAAACAGUAAGCCAGG
ensembl:lncRNA